rnacentral:lncRNA from 1 species
CCUGCCACCAGUCUAGGUCAAGUGUACAAAGCUCGGUUGAAGUACUCUGGCCAGGUUGUUGCUGUGAAGGUGCAAAGACUUGGUAUUGAAGAAGAUUUAGGGCUGGACUUUUAUCUCACAAGAGGUUUUGGUUUCCUUAUAUAUAAGCCUUUGUUUGAUCCCCAUUUUUUGGAGAAAAUGAAUUCUUCAACAGUGUUUUGACAUAAUUUUAAUCAUAUAUUUUUCAAUAAAAUAAUAUUACAAGCAAAUUCAAAACGUUUCAUUAUUUUUUAACAACACAUUUCACAUCAAUACACUAUUCAAAAAUUCAUUUUUCCCUUCAAAAUGGGGUUCAAACAAGGGCUAAAUAUGUUGAAAUAAUU